AAGAAAUUGUGGGACUAAGCUAAAACCCACUGAAACAAACAAACAAACAACCAUAAAAGUUUCAAGGAUCAACACUAAGUUACAACCUAAACUAGUUAUGGAAACCAAAGCUACCAGCAAGCCUUCAAGGAACACUAAGCUAGAGAAAGCAACCAAUGCACAAGACAGCCACCUGCCAAAGAAUCUCCUCCAUACUAAGAAACUUCCUUGACUAACAGGGGAGAAAUUGAUGCCAUUUCCUGUCCAAUCUUGCUAAAACUGAGAACAGGAACAAAACUCAUAUGGCAUUCUCUUUAUUAACACCCUUUUUGGAAUGAGUUUGUAUAUAAUCACUAUAUGUCCACUGGGUUACUGCAAUCUAUUAUGCUUGUGAUUCAACUUGACCUUUUUUAGCCUAUUGGAGAAAUAAAAGGUGAAAUCUCUAUCACAACUUCACUUGAUAGUUAUUUCAUUCAUCUGCCAUAUCUUGCUCCUCAGGGGAUAGGUCUCCUCAGAGGUAUGUUUUCCUGUAUAAUUGUGAGCAUCAUUUGUCAUGAUCUCUAUUGCACUGACACUUCUGAUUGAACGUGUGUCCCGGAAUCAUAACCUAUGUCAUUUUCUUAAAAUUUUAUCAUUGUAGACGUGUCAGUGUCCUGUCCGGUGUCCGUGUUUGUGUCCGUGCUUCAUAGGUUAUUAUUCUGUCAUCAAAAGUCAGAGAAGCUGCGAAAUGGUUGGUAUUAUAUCACUUGAAACAACCUUAGCCACUUUGUUAGCUGACUUUCCUGCUAAAGAAUGCACAGGUUCAGUCCCUGCUGUAUCAACAACUGUUGUCUUUAAAUUAUUAUCUUUUAUUGUCAUUUGUGUUGUUGUUUACUAUUGGUUGUUGUUCUUUUCUACAAUAACAUCCUUAUGAUGAAGACCU
rnacentral:lncRNA from 1 species